rnacentral:rRNA from 1 species
GUAGGUGGCAAGCGUUGUCCGGAAUUAUUGGGCGUAAAGCGCGCGCAGGCGGUUUUUAAGUCUGAUGUGAAAGCCCACGGCUCAACCGUGGAGGGUCAUUGGAAACUGGAGAACUUGAGUACAGAAGAGGAAAGCGGAAUUCCACGUGUAGCGGUGAAAUGCGUAGAGAUGUGGAGGAACACCAGUGGCGAAGGCGGCUUUCUGGUCUGUAACUGACGCUGAGGCGCGAAAGCGUGGGGAGCAAACAGGGAUUAGAUACCCUGGCAGUCCACGCCGUAAACGAUGAGUGCUAAGUGUUAGGGGGUUUCCGCCCCCCUUAGUGCUGCAGCUAACGCAUUAAGCACUCCGCCUGGGAGUACGGCCGCAAGGCUG